rnacentral:lncRNA from 1 species
GUGAUUCUCCUCGAUGCUGUUGUCUUUUGACCGGCCACGGUAACAGACGUCUCUGGAACUCGCAAUUUACUGAGGCACGUACUAUUGGGCGAGGAAUUCAACCAUAUCGAUCUCAAUUCUUCUUUGGAAAAGAAAUCUAUCAAAUCUUGAAAAGGAGAUAUUUUAUUGAUCGUACCUGUUAGAAAUUCAAUCAAAGGAACACACGAGACUUUCGAGACGAUGGCUUUCAAAAUAAACUUGUUAUUCAUAAUUGUCGUCUUUAACAUGUUUAGCAUGGGAUAUCUAUCUAGUUCAGAAUACUCUUCGUUUUCUAAUUUGCCAUUUAUAUAUUGUGGUUAUAAGUAUAACCGUGGUCCUUGCUUUUCGAAUUUUCUUAUCAGCAGUUACAAACUUUAUGGGAGAUAUUAUUUUUCGAAAUUAUCGAACGAUUGUGAACUUUUCGCGUACGGGGGCUGCGGAGGAAACAAAAAUAAUUUCGUAACUUAUGAGGACUGUAUUCAAACAUGCAGUGAAUAUUCACAUAUAGAGUAAUAUUCUAUACACUUUAACAAUGGCGAAUAUUUUAAAUCUAUUCCAAAAUAUAAAAUUUUUUGAAACAUAACAACAUUGAAGCUUUCCCAUGUAUUGAUAUGUAUUUGUAAGAGUUUGAUAUUAAGUUUAAAUUGAAGUACUAAAUGCAAGACUCUGUGACAUCAUUUGAAAUACUUGUAAAAGUGUUUUAUUUUUACAAUAAAUGACUAUAAUAAAAUGACUGUAAUAA